rnacentral:rRNA from 1 species
AUUGAACGCUGGCGGCAGGCUUAACACAUGCAAGUCGAGCGGAGCGGGGGUGCUUGCACCUUAGCUUAGCGGCGGACGGGUGAGUAAUGCUUAGGAAUCUGCCUAUUAGUGGGGGACAACAUUCCGAAAGGAAUGCUAAUACCGCAUACGCCCUACGGGGGAAAGCAGGGGAUCUUCGGACCUUGCGCUAAUAGAUGAGCCUAAGUCGGAUUAGCUAGUUGGUGGGGUAAAGGCCUACCAAGGCGACGAUCUGUAGCGGGUCUGAGAGGAUGAUCCGCCACACUGGGACUGAGACACGGCCCAGACUCCUACGGGAGGCAGCAGUGGGGAAUAUUGGACAAUGGGCGGAAGCCUGAUCCAGCCAUGCCGCGUGUGUGAAGAAGGCCUUUUGGUUGUAAAGCACUUUAAGCGAGGAGGAGGCUACUUAGAUUAAUACUCUAGGAUAGUGGACGUUACUCGCAGAAUAAGCACCGGCUAACCCUGUGCCAGCCGCCGCGGUAAGAC